rnacentral:rRNA from 1 species
GAACCGGGGGAACUGAAACAUCUAAGUACCCCGAGGAAAAGAAAUCAACCGAGAUUCCCCCAGUAGCGGCGAGCGAACGGGGAGCAGCCCAGAGCCUGAAUCAGUGUGUGUGUUAGUGGAAGCGUCUGGAAAGGCGCGCGAUACAGGGUGACAGCCCCGUACACAAAAAUGCACAUACUGUGAGCUCGAUGAGUAGGGCGGGACACGUGGUAUCCUGUCUGAAUAUGGGGGGACCAUCCUCCAAGGCUAAAUACUCCUGACUGACCGAUAGUGAACCAGUACCGUGAGGGAAAGGCGAAAAGAACCCCGGCGAGGGGAGUGAAAAAGAACCUGAAACCGUGUACGUACAAGCAGUGGGAGCCUCUUUAUGGGGUGACUGCGUACCUUUUGUAUAAUGGGUCAGCGACUUAUAUUCUGUAGCAAGGUUAACCGAAUAGGGGAGCCGAAGGGAAACCGAGUCUUAACUGGGCGUUAAGUUGCAGGGUAUAGACCCGAAACCCGGUGAUCUAGCCAUGGGCAGGUUGAAGGUUGGGUAACACUAACUGGAGGACCGAACCGACUAAUGUUGAAAAAUUAGCGGAUGACUUGUGGCUGGGGGUGAAAGGCCAAUCAAACCGGGAGAUAGCUGGUUCUCCCCGAAAGCUAUUUAGGUAGCGCCUCGUGAAUUCAUCUCCGGGGGUAGAGCACUGUUUCGGCAAGGGGGUCAUCCCGACUUACCAACCCGAUGCAAACUGCGAAUACCGGAGAAUGUUAUCACGGGAGACACACGGCGGGUGCUAACGUCCGUCGUGAAGAGGGAAACAACCCAGACCGCCAGCUAAGGUCCCAAAGUCAUGGUUAAGUGGGAAACGAUGUGGGAAGGCCCAGACAGCCAGGAUGUUGGCUUAGAAGCAGCCAUCAUUUAAAGAAAGCGUAAUAGCUCACUGGUCGAGUCGGCCUGCGCGGAAGAUGUAACGGGGCUAAACCAUGCACCGAAGCUGCGGCAGCGACGCUUAUGCGUUGUUGGGUAGGGGAGCGUUCUGUAAGCCUGCGAAGGUGUACUGUGAGGUAUGCUGGAGGUAUCAGAAGUGCGAAUGCUGACAUAAGUAACGAUAAAGCGGGUGAAAAGCCCGCUCGCCGGAAGACCAAGGGUUCCUGUCCAACGUUAAUCGGGGCAGGGUGAGUCGACCCCUAAGGCGAGGCCGAAAGGCGUAGUCGAUGGGAAACAGGUUAAUAUUCCUGUACUUGGUGUUACUGCGAAGGGGGGACGGAGAAGGCUAUGUUGGCCGGGCGACGGUUGUCCCGGUUUAAGCGUGUAGGCUGGUUUUCCAGGCAAAUCCGGAAAAUCAAGGCUGAGGCGUGAUGACGAGGCACUACGGUGCUGAAGCAACAAAUGCCCUGCUUCCAGGAAAAGCCUCUAAGCAUCAGGUAACAUCAAAUCGUACCCCAAACCGACACAGGUGGUCAGGUAGAGAAUACCAAGGCGCUUGAGAGAACUCGGGUGAAGGAACUAGGCAAAAUGGUGCCGUAACU